GUGAUAAGGUAGAGAGAACUAAACAGGGGGAGAAGAAGAAUCUAAAGGGAAGACGUGAAACAAGGAGAGUAGUGGAGUGUAAAUCGCAUAGAUUCUCUCAUGGUUGCCUAGGUAAUGAAGAAAGAAGAUUGUUUUGGGAGGCUUUGAAAGUGGGUCUACAAAGCUUAAGUUCGGUUUGCGAAAGAAAUUUAGAUUGAAGGUUGGGGAGAGAUUGUCUACGUUAAUUUGUGCUUGUACAAGGAAACUUGGAUGGUCAAAGCUAAAGUUGGAUUUCAUGUGCUACUUGGUUCGGGAGAUUGGACUUGAAGUGUAAGUCAUGCAGUCAACAACUAGAUUUUCAAGGGUAAGUGGAAUUGAAUCUCUAUUUCAAUUAAGAUGACGUUUGUGCUUGUAAGUGAGGUAAGGACUUAUUGAAGUUCUAUAUACUGUUGGCAUUGAGUUGUUAAAUGCUAUAUCGUUUUAUUAUAUGGUCAGGCGGUGGACAUUGUCUCAGGAUUUGACUAGUAGCAUAUUUCUGGUGAGUGGAUAGAUAACUUAUUUGAUACAUUGAACCCGCACACACCUAUGAUCCGUCCUUUUCUUCAGAUUUUGUAUUAGUGUCCCUAUUUGUCAAUCUCCGUAUAUAUCCGUCUAGUUACUGUUUGUUAGACUUCUUGUGUGACCCAUGAUUUUCUUACCAUUGGGACAAGCAUAGAAUUAACUGCAUGCGACCUUUUGAUAUGACAUCGAUUACUCUGAUUCUGAAAUAUGUGUUAUUCGGAUUUCGUAUCGGGAUGGAAUGUUCUGAUUCGGACUUGUGAUCGUAUCCUAUUCUGGUUCAGUUUGAUUGAUUGUUAUUUGUUCCUUGGGAGUUACUAUCUGUUAGAAUACUGUACGCUAACGACAGGAUACGUUAGCCUUGGUGCACCAAGUUUGGAUAUGUUCGGAUAUCAGCACUGUGUGUGCUGUCUGAUACUAGCACCUUGGGUGUUGUCUCACAUCAGCACUUCAUGUGCUGUCUGAUGUCGGCACUUCGUGUGCUGUCUGAUAUUCUGAUUGUUUCUGUAUGAUGGUACUCCCUUCCGAAAUGUUGCUUGUUCAGUUCUUUGACUCUUGAUUACCCGGCUUGUCCCCUUUGUAUCGUUUAAGUUUCUAUUCAUUCACUGAGUCUUGUGACUCAUGCUUCCUUGUUGAUACUUUUGUUUCAGAUAGAGUAGUUUCGGCAGGUCCAGGACCACCUUCAGCUAUUUAGAGUUCUAUCCGAUUCCGGAGAGCCCGUCACCUGUUGUGUGGGUAGUCACUCUGAUAUUUUGUAUUUUGCUACUCAUGUAUAAAUUUAUGAAUCUUAGAUGCUCCGUUAAUUACAGAUAGGAUGUUUUUGG